rnacentral:rRNA from 1 species
UACGGAGGAUGCGAGCGUUAUCCGGAUUUAUUGGGUUUAAAGGGUGCGUAGGCGGGCUUUUAAGUCAGCGGUAAAAAUUCGGGGCUCAACCCCGUCCGGCCGUUGAAACUGGGGGCCUUGAGUGGGCGAGAAGAAGGCGGAAUGCGUGGUGUAGCGGUGAAAUGCAUAGAUAUCACGCAGAACCCCGAUUGCGAAGGCAGCCUUCCGGCGCCCUACUGACGCUGAGGCACGAAAGUGCGGGGAUCGAGCAGG